rnacentral:rRNA from 1 species
UACGUAGGUGGCGAGCGUUGUCCGGAUUUACUGGGCGUAAAGAGCGCGCAGGCGGUCGUGCAAGUCGCGUGUGAAAGCCCCCGGCUCAACUGGGGAGGGUCACGCGAUACUGCUCGACUCGAAGGCAGGAGAGGGAAGUGGAAUUCCCGGUGUAGUGGUGAAAUGCGUAGAUAUCGGAAGGAACACCGGUGGCGAAAGCGGCGCGCUGGAUCUCUUCUGACGCUGAGGCGCGAAAGCCAGGGGAGCAAACGGG